rnacentral:rRNA from 1 species
GGCCUUCGGGUUGUAAACCUCUUUCAGCAGGGAAGAAGCCACAAGUGACGGUACCUGCAGAAGAAGCGCCGGCUAACUACGUGCCAGCAGCCGCGGUAAUACGUAGGGCGCAAGCGUUGUCCGGAAUUAUUGGGCGUAAAGAGCUCGUAGGCGGUUUGUCGCGUCUGCUGUGAAAGCCCGGGGCUUAACCCCGGGUGUGCAGUGGGUACGGGCAGACUAGAGUGCAGUAGGGGAGACUGGAAUUCCUGGUGUAGCGGUGGAAUGCGCAGAUAUCAGGAGGAACACCGAUGGCGAAGGCAGGUCUCUGGGCUGUUACUGACGCUGAGGAGCGAAAGCAUGGGGAGCGAACAGGAUUAGAUACCCCUGGUAGUCCAUGCCGUAAACGUUGGGCACUAGGUGUGGGGGACAUUCCACGUUUUCCGCGCCGUAGCUAACGCA